rnacentral:rRNA from 1 species
UACAGGGGGUGCAAACGUUGCUCGGAAUCAUUGGGCGUAAAGCGCACGUAGGCGGUCUGUUAUGUCGGAUGUGAAAGCCCUCGGCUCAACUGAGGAAGUGCAUCCGAAACUGGCAGGCUAGAGUACUAAAGAGGGUCGCGGAAUUCCCGGUGUAGAGGUGAAAUUCGUAGAUAUCGGGAGGAACACCGGUGGCGAAGGCGGCGACCUGGGUCGAUACUGACGCUGAGGAGCGAAAGCGUGGGGAGCGAACAGG